rnacentral:rRNA from 1 species
UACGAAGGGGGCUAGCGUUGCUCGGAAUCACUGGGCGUAAAGCGCACGUAGGCGGCUUCUUAAGUCAGGGGUGAAAUCCUGGAGCUCAACUCCAGAACUGCCUUUGAUACUGAGGAGCUUGAGUCCGGGAGAGGUGAGUGGAACUGCGAGUGUAGAGGUGAAAUUCGUAGAUAUUCGCAAGAACACCAGUGGCGAAGGCGGCUCACUGGCCCGGUACUGACGCUGAGGUGCGAAAGCUAGGGGAGCGAACGGG